rnacentral:autocatalytically_spliced_intron from 1 species
AACCGCCGUAUGCCGAACGGCAUGUACGGUGGUGUGAGAGGGGCUACUUGCUAGCCCCUACUCGAU